CAAAAACAUAGUCUAAUGAAAGACAUUAGAUAUUUUCUGCUCAAUGAGAAAUUAAAUAGCCGCAGUACCCUGACUGUGCAAAGGUAGCAUAAUAAAUUGGCUUAUAAUUGAAGUCGUGGAUGAAUGAAAUUAUGGGGGAGAACUAUAUAAGAAAUAAAGUUUGAAUUUAUUUAAAAAGUGUAAAUACUUUUAUAUAAAUAAAAGACGAGAAGACCCUAGAAAUUUGUAGAAUAAAUUUUGUUGGGGCAACAGUGUAGUAUAUAAACCUACAUAUAUAUACAAGGCUUAUAUUAGUAGUAUGAAAAAAUUACUCUAGGGAUAACAGCAUAAUAAUGAUGAUUGUUUGUGACCUCGAUGUUGGAUUAGGAACCUCUUCUUAGAUAGAUUGAAUUAAUGCUCUGUUCG
rnacentral:rRNA from 1 species